rnacentral:rRNA from 1 species
AACUUGCUCCCUGAUGUUAGCGGCGGACGGGUGAGUAACACGUGGGUAACCUGCCUGUAAGACUGGGAUAACUCCGGGAAACCGGGGCUAAUACCGGAUGCUUGUUUGAACCGCAUGGUUCAAACAUAAAAGGUGGCUUCGGCUACCACUUACAGAUGGACCCGCGGCGCAUUAGCUAGUUGGUGAGGUAACGGCUCACCAAGGCAACGAUGCGUAGCCGACCUGAGAGGGUGAUCGGCCACACUGGGACUGAGACACGGCCCAGACUCCUACGGGAGGCAGCAGUAGGGAAUCUUCCGCAAUGGACGAAAGUCUGACGGAGCAACGCCGCGUGAGUGAUGAAGGUUUUCGGAUCGUAAAGCUCUGUUGUUAGGGAAGAACAAGUACCGUUCGAAUAGGGCGGUACCUUGACGGUACCUAACCAGAAAGCCACGGCUAACUACGUGCCAGCAGCCGCGGUAAUACGUAGGUGGCAAGCGUUGUCCGGAAUUAUUGGGCGUAAAGGGCUCGCAGGCGGUUCCUUAAGUCUGAUGUGAAAGCCCCCGGCUCAACCGGGGAGGGUCAUUGGAAACUGGGGAACUUGAGUGCAGAAGAGGAGAGUGGAAUUCCACGUGUAGCGGUGAAAUGCGUAGAGAUGUGGAGGAACACCAGUGGCGAAGGCGACUCUCUGGUCUGUAACUGACGCUGAGGAGCGAAAGCGUGGGGAGCGAACAGGAUUAGAUACCCUGGUAGUCCACGCCGUAAACGAUGAGUGCUAAGUGUUAGGGGGUUUCCGCCCCUUAGUGCUGCAGCUAACGCAUUAAGCACUCCGCCUGGGGAGUACGG